rnacentral:rRNA from 1 species
AGCUUUUUGGUAAUAAGAUAAAAGGUUGUGCCUGCCCAGUGACGAUGAGGAGUUUAACGGCCGCGGUAUUAUGACCGUGCAAAGGUAGCAUAAUCAUUAGUCUUUUAAUUGAGGACUGGUAUGAAUGGCUUGACGGAGAUUUUCUUUUUUAGAUGAAAAGAUUUGAAAUUUAAAUUAAUGUGAAGAUGCGUUAAUAGAUUUAAUAGACGAGAAGACCCUAUCAAGCUUAAAAUUUUAAUGAAGUUUUAUGUUUAGGUUUUAUUUUAAAGGUUUUGUGUUGGGGCGACAGAUAGUUGAAUGGAGACUUAUUUAUAGAUUAAGAUAUUGAUGAAUAGUUGAUUGUUGUGAUCCACAAAAUAUGUGAUAAUAAGAUGAAGUUACUGUAGGGAUAACAGCGUAAUUGUGGCGGAGAGUACAAAUUGAUGCUGCAGAUUGCGACCUCGAUGUUGAAUCAGGAUGUUUAUAAGGCUGCAGGAGGCUUAUGAAAUAGUCUGUUCGACUAUUAAAUUCCUACG